UCAAGCGUGGUACCGAAGCUACGGGAUUGGUAACAAUCGGUAGGGGAGUAUUCUGACGGAGAUACGCGGUGUACCGACAAGGAGCACUAACGGCCGUCAGAAGAGCUUAUGCAGGCAUGAGUAGCGAUAAACCGGGUCAAAAAACCCGGUCGCCGUAAGCCCAAGGUUUCCUGGGGAAGGAUAAGCCUCCCAUGGGUUAGUCGGGACCUAAGUCGAGGCCGAGAGGCGUAGACGAUGGCAAGCUGGUUAAUAUUCCAGCACCGCGGUGGUACUUUAGCAGAGCAGGGACGGAGAAGGAUAGGCCAGUCCAUCUGUUGGAUCAGGUGGUUCAAGCCCGUAGGCAGCUCCCAUAGGACCCGACAGGGACAAACGUGGGGGCACGAUGCCGAGAGGUGAUGAGGUGAGCCCUCGGGCUCGCAACCUGGUGAUUCCACGCUUCCAAGAAAAGCUGCGCUGUGUGGUGCUACUGUGCCCGUACCGCAAACCGACUCAGGUGGGCGGGAAGAAUAUUCCAAGGCGCG
rnacentral:rRNA from 1 species